UGGGGGGUGGUGUAACCGGCAGCACGUGGGGUUUUGGUCCCCAAAGUACGGGUUCGAGUCCUGUCCCCCCAG
rnacentral:tRNA from 1 species